rnacentral:rRNA from 1 species
GCUUUGCCUGCUAUCUCUUACCCAUGUCUUUUGAGUACCUUCGUUUCCUCGGCGGGUCCGCCCGCCGAUUGGACAAUUUAAACCAUUUGCAGUUGCAAUCAGCGUCUGAAAAAACUUAAUAGUUACAACUUUCAACAACGGAUCUCUUGGUUCUGGCAUCGAUGAAGAACGCAGCGAAAUGCGAUAAGUAGUGUGAAUUGCAGAAUUCAGUGAAUCAUCGAAUCUUUGAACGCACAUUGCGCCCCUUGGUAUUCCAUGGGGCAUGCCUGUUCGAGCGUCAUUUGUACCUUCAAGCUCUGCUUGGUGUUGGGUGUUUGUCUCGCCUCUGCGCGUAGACUCGCCUCAAAACAAUUGGCAGCCGGCGUAUUGAUUUCGGAGCGCAGUACAUCUCGCGCUUUGCACUCAUAACGACGACGUCCAAAAGUACAUUUUUACACUCUUGACCUCGGAUCAG